rnacentral:lncRNA from 1 species
CUCAGGUCCUUCUAUCUGAUCUUGGAUACCAGGAAAAACUUCUUCCAAAUAGUGGUUGGGCAGUGGCACAGGCUGCCCGGGGGGUGGUGGGGUCACUGUCCCUGGAGGUGUUCAGGAAAUGUGGAGAUGUGGCACUGAGAGACACAGUCAGUGGGGAACACUGGUGGUAGGACCCCAGGUGUUGAGGAAAGGAUUAACCCAUCCGGUGCCCCUGGUUAGAAGGGGUCUGCUCCUAAAUCACCUUCUCCAGCUGUUCUGACCAGAGUGAUCUCUGACUUGCUAAUCUUGCUGUGUGUGCUGGCCCUGGUUGAGGGGAGUAAGGGGAGAUCAGCUCUGUGGCCAUAGACCCUUAUAAUCUAAUGUAGAAGUGCAGUUAUCAUCUUGAUACGCAUAAGAAGUGAGUGAUUUUCCUGAGUAGAUCAGCUGCCUGCCCUCCCACCUGUGCCGUGGGUGAGGAGAGGAGCACCACAGCUGGGUCAUCUCCUCUCCCCAUCUCCUAGGAGAGCAGUUUGCUUGUAGUGAGGAGCAUCAGCAGCUGAGUGACGGCGAUGAAGAAGCAGCUGCUCUGGACUGCGGAGACGGAGUCAGGGGUUGUCGAGGCUGUGGUUGGAUCUGUUCGUGGAACUGAAAGAAACCCGCGGGGUAAAUUAGAAGUGCAGAGGACCAGCUACAGACCUACGUGCUGUCAUUUCUCAGAAAUGUGUGUCAGACCUGUGGUACAGAGUGGGAUGCAUGAAUACAUCCAACCUAUCGACACCAUUGCCCACUAAACCACUUCCCUGUGUACUCUACCUGCCCUUUCC